CCAAGUCUCCCCCCCCCCACCCCAAAAGGACUUACCAUCUCCACCAGAAACCACUGUUCACCACGGCUCCAAACAGCUCUGUAGUCCGGCCUUUACUUCAGAGACCAAUGUGGACCCUUUGUAGC